UUGUGGUUAGCGGAGAAAUUCCAAUCGAACUCGGAGCUAGCUAGUUCUCCCCGAAAUGUGUUGAGGCGCAGCGAUGAUUGAAGGAUUGUUGAUAGGGGUAAAGCACUGUUUCGGUGCGGGCUGUGAAAACGGUACCAAAUCGAUGCAAACUCAGAAUACUAUCCAUAUUUUCCAAUCAUUAGUGAGACUGUGGGGGAUAAGCUUCAUUGUCAAGAGGGAAACAACCCAGACCAUCGAUUAAGGCCCCUAAAUGAUUACUCAGUGAAAAAGGAGGUAAUAAUACCGAGACAACCAGAAGGUUUGCUUAGAAGCAGCAAUCCUUAAAAGAGU
rnacentral:rRNA from 1 species